UGAAGACUCACCCCUUCAGGUUUUUCCUGAAGUGUUGGUGGAUUUGGGUGUUUGCCACUUACCCUGGCUCGCCUUAAAAGCAUUAGUGGUUACACAGGACGUGAUACGUUCUCGGCCUUAGACCGCUUACAACCCCAGUUCUUAGGAACACUUUUUGACAAUCUGACCUCAAAUCAGGUAGGGCUACCCGCUGAACUUAA
rnacentral:misc_RNA from 1 species